GCACACACACACAUCAUCCAGCACACACACACACACACACACAUCAUCCAGCACACACACACACAUCAUCCAGCACACACACACACACAUCACCCAGCACUCACACACACAUCAUCCAGCACACGCACACACACACACACACAUCAUCCAGCACACACAUCAUCCAGCACACACACACACAUCAUCCAGCACACACACACACACACACACACAUCAUCCAGCACUCGCACACACAUCAUCCAGCACACACACACACAUCAUCCAGCACUCACACACACGUCAUCCAGCGCGCUCACGCACACACUGCAUUCAUUAUACACACUCUUCAC